rnacentral:rRNA from 1 species
ACGGAGGGUGCAAGCGUUAUCCGGAAUCAUUGGGUUUAAAGGGUCCGCAGGCGGGAAGAUAAGUCAGUGGUGAAAUCUCACAGCUCAACUGUGAAACUGCCAUUGAUACUGUCUUUCUUGAAUUCGAUCGAAGUGGGCGGAAUGUGACAUGUAGCGGUGAAAUGCUUAGAUAUGUCACAGAACACCGAUAGCGAAGGCAGCUCACUAGGUCUGGAUUGACGCUCAGGGACGAAAGCGUGGGGAGCAAACAGG